rnacentral:rRNA from 1 species
AGAUGGGAGCUUGCUCCCUGAUGUUAGCGGCGGACGGGUGAGUAACACGUGGGUAACCUGCCUGUAAGACUGGGAUAACUCCGGGAAACCGGGGCUAAUACCGGAUGGUUGUUUGAACCGCAUGGUUCAGACAUAAAAGGUGGCUUCGGCUACCACUUACAGAUGGACCCGCGGCGCAUUAGCUAGUUGGUGAGGUAACGGCUCACCAAGGCGACGAUGCGUAGCCGACCUGAGAGGGUGAUCGGCCACACUGGGACUGAGACACGGCCCAGACUCCUACGGGAGGCAGCAGUAGGGAAUCUUCCGCAAUGGACGAAAGUCUGACGGAGCAACGCCGCGUGAGUGAUGAAGGUUUUCGGAUCGUAAAGCUCUGUUGUUAGGGAAGAACAAGUGCCGUUCAAAUAGGGCGGCACCUUGACGGUACCUAACCAGAAAGCCACGGCUAACUACGUGCCAGCAGCCGCGGUAAUACGUAGGUGGCAAGCGUUGUCCGGAAUUAUUGGGCGUAAAGGGCUCGCAGGCGGUUUCUUAAGUCUGAUGUGAAAGCCCCCGGCUCAACCGGGGAGGGUCAUUGGAAACUGGGGAACUUGAGUGCAGAAGAGGAGAGUG